rnacentral:lncRNA from 1 species
ACAAUUUAUAAUGCUGAUGUAAGCUAAUUUCGUUGGCCCUAACACAUUUCAGUGAAGCAGAGGCAUUUUCUGAGCGGUUGAAAAAAGAGCUUCAAGCUUUCGAAGUGUGCGUGUGCGUGUAAUUUUGGAGAACGAGUAUUAGUUAAUGAGGUAACUUAGGAUUUUAAGCAUUGACAUGUUUACUGCAUUUUGUGUUUCUUGCCAUCACUUGUGAUCCCGUAGGAUAUUUGUGUUAAUUGAUAGUAGGUGUACAUCAUCUUUAUCAUGUCUUUCUAUUCAAUCAUAGCUUGUCGAUUUUACCUGUGUUUACUUAAAAGUAUAACACCUAAUUUUUUUUUAAAAUACUUAUGAGUAUUAUCCAGUUUCAUUUAUUUUCUUUUGGUUUUGUUAUUGUGUUUGAAAGAUUAAUUUUGAAGAUGUGUAUAUUAGCCAAAUCUUCAAAAUUUGUUUGGUUUACAAGAAGCUAAGUCAUUUACAACGUUGAAAAUAAUUUUUUUAUGAAUAAGACAUGUUCUAUGGGCUAUAUUUUAGAUAUUGACCAAUAUUUUUUGUUUCCUAUGAAUGGACAAUUGAACUUCCUGUUUUAUGAGGAUUGUAUUUGGUUUGAUUUUCUUUUCUUUCAAGUUGACAGCAACGUGAGCCCCGAAUGAUUUAUUUGGGGAUUGUGCAGGUACGACAGGCCUUCAGAUUGCUACUAAUUGUGUUCAGGACAUGGAUGAAUAGUUGGGUACAUUCAAUGUAAAACUUCAACAUAUGAGAGAGGACAUAAAAUCGGUAUGCAUCUCCCCACAUCGUGCUCUCAUUUGAAAAUGUAUAUUUUCGUGUUGUCUUGUGAUUUUGCUUAUAUACAUCAUGUUAGUUAUAAGCUGCAUAGUGUGUUCGUCUGAUUCCAAUUUUGUUUUGUUCAACAACAGGAGCAAAUUAAAAUUCAAUUUUAUUUGUUUGCUAAAGCAUAACUGCUUAUAUUAUGACUUGCUUUAUAAAAUAUUUUGAAGAAUUUGUUAUGAAUUAAUUGAAAUUAAGCUUUUCCCUGUGCUUUGAGAAUGUUGUAAAAUAUUCUUUUGUGAUAUGAAGAUUGAAGCCCAUAAUAACAAGCUGGAAAUACAUUCAGUUAACAACAAAUCAUUGGUUGAUGAACUUGAUAGCCUUUGAGAAAGAUUGUGCAUCCCUUCCCAGGUAUUUUCUUCGACUUUUUUCAUUCAAUAAAUUCAAAGAACUUUCCUUCUUUCUUUCUUUCUUUUUUCUUUUUUUAUUUUUUUUUAACACUUGGCAGUUGUACUUUGUAUUAUUUUCCCCAUUUAAAUUGCAAUUUAUAGCAUGUCUAAUAGGAAGUUCAGGUAUUCUAGCUCGACGGCUCGUUCAGGUUGUUAUUGGGUUUCUUUUUGUGUUUAUUGGGGCUUUUUUUAGUACUUAACAUUUAGCAGUUCAGGUGUUAAGUACUAAAAUGAAAAAAGAAAAUGGGGUACAUAAUGUAAAAAUACCUUUGAGUUUAUUGCUAGCUCGCAAUACCUUUUUUAAGUAUUUAACAUUUUGGGAGUUGUAUUUCAAUCACGUAAUGUUCUCCUUCACAUGCUUUAGAAUACCUUUGAGCAGCAGAUUAGCGAUUAGAGAUACUCAACAUUUAGGAUAAUAUUAUGAGAUCUUGCCUUGAUAGUUUUCAAAGUGUGUAUUUAUAUUUUUUGUCCCUUGCAGUUUUGUAUUUUUCCAGCUGGGUAGCUUAAAUUCUGUCUUUGCCAUUGAACAAACUUUGUCUAUCGUAAUGGUAUCCAAGGUUCCAACCAUUAUACUUUGUAUGGAUUUGUCACAUGGUUCCCCUGGCAAGUCUAAUAUUCCAUCCAUUGUUACUGUAAAACGCUACCAACCUCUUGUUCUUUAUGCUCUUUCAAAUUAUUGCAGCCUGCUUCUGUGUUUUUAUUUAAAAUGGUUUUUCUUGAGGCAAUGGCCAUUAAUAUCUCAUUACUGAGCAUGUGUUCACACUCAGUCCCCUAAAGUUGAAAUCAUCUAUCCUCUUUAUAAGCAUGUCUCAUACACUGAGGAUGAGGGCAUGAUCAGAUGAGUUUAUCGUCUUCAAUUAAAAUUGUUAAUGGGGGAUAUGAAUAAAUCCUGAUGCAACUCCUUUAAUUUGCUUUACUGUUGAGGCCACAACUGUAGAUUUUUCUCGCUAAUGGAACUACAUUUACAGCAGGCUUCCUCUGAGAGACCAGGUUAGCUCAAUUUGGCAUGUUAUGAACUAUGCAAAAUUGUCCAUAAAUAUGUCACUUCAAUUCAGAAAAGUCAAUUUUAUGAUACAAUUGUUGCUUUUCUUCGUUCAAAUAGGUUUUUACCACAAUUUUUAUGUCAGUUCUGUACUAUUGAAAUGUUGUUUUGAUAAUAUACAUUGUUAGUGCCAAAUGUUAGUGUUAUUUAUUUUGUUAUUGCUAUUUAUUUUGUUAUUUAUAUUCACUAUUCAAUCUUCGAAUUUUUUUCGAGGUUUUAACAAAUCAUUCCCAAAAACGUAGGAAAUUUCAACAGAAAUUGGUGUUUGGUGACUAAUUUGUGAGGUAUCAUGAUGAAAGAGACCGUGAGUCAUGACUGAUAUGAAUGGAAGGUAUUUUUCGACGAGACCCAUAAGAAUUAACUUGGUUGCUAGCAAACAGAAUGUGGGUGGUCAGGCUAAAGUUAUGAUUUACCUUUCAUCCUUGUAGUACAUUUGUUAGCUUAUUAGAUGGCCGCAUCAAAUUUACUUAAACAGGCUGAAUUAGGUUUGGUUUUUGCAUGAUGUGAUUUGAUUCCUGAUUCUGGCAGUUCAAAUGCAUUGAUGCCUUUUUGUUUUAGAUAUAUUCAACGGUUGAUGCUUAUUCAACAAUGUUGUUUUUAAGUAUGCUUCCUCUCUCUUGAAUUAUUGAAGAUAGCCACGGCUUACGAUUACAUUUCUUUGAAGUACUUUAAAAAUUUUCAGCUUUUGAAUCUUAAAACUUGCCUAAUCUCAUAAAACUUCAAUUGUCUCAAAGCGGGGAUGUCAGGAGGCUCAAGGCAUUGAGCUAAUUAUGGCUAAAAUGGUUACACUUUUAGUGCAGGUCAGUUUUUAAUUUCAUGUUUCUUACUUUUGGCUCUAAUGAUGAUAAUAAAUUGUUUUACUCAAUACCCUUUUUUUAACUCUACAGAUACUAUAGGGUCCGUGCAACCUUGUUAAUGGCGAUUAUAAAAAUUUGUUAUUGUAUUCAGGAACCUUUGGCUUAGUUGACUAUACUAAUUACGAAGAUAUUAAAUAUGUUGUAUUCAUCUUGAAAGUGUUUAACCUUCUGUGCAUCCGCGAAUUUUUCCAAUCGAUUUGACAAUUUAUUUUCCUCUUGCUCAGAUCCGAAAAAUCGACUCUAGUGAGUUUAAAAGCCCUUGGAACAGAAGUUCGAACGGGGUACCGUGACAUGGAUGGGUCUGUUCAACAUCCAUGUUUUGGCCUUCGCAAGGUUAUAUUCUUACAUUUAGCGUGAUCCAUGGGGUUGUUUCAUUUCUGGUUAUUUAAUUUUUGAACUAUUUGAAUGAGAAAACCUGCUAAUACAUUUGGCGUACCUCUCGUUGCUACUAUUGAAGCUUGAAUACCCUUCUUUUAUUUUUUUUAAAUUCUAGACAUGUAAAUGUUGCAUAUGUCACUUGAUUGAUGAAGCUGAAACUUUGCUUUUGGCUACUUCAAUACACGAGCUAAGUUAACUAAAUCAACAUCUACGAAAAAUAGGGGUGCUAUAUUCAAUUUCUCUUUAAAGAGUUGAAAAAAUUUCGGCCUUUUCAAAUCCCAAAGUCUCUUCUUUUUUAUCCUCCAAUCAUACUCUACGUUUCUCUCUUAAUCUUACACAUUAAACGAUAAUAUAUUCUUGUUUUCGUAUCAAUGUUUUAAAAGCCUUGAAAAAAUUUGUGUUUUCCACUCUUCUCCAGCUGCCAUUGACUGUCUUGAUUCAAGACUUUUGAUUAAAUUUACAAGUUAUUAUCAUUAUACUUGAAUGCCAUUGAAGCUAAAUUUUCUGAGUUGAUUAAAAAAAACGCAGAAUGAGAGGUUCACAUACUAGGAGUAGCUACAUUUAGGUGGUGCCGAUGAUAGAUAGUCAUUAAACGUAAAGUACAGAUGAUAGAAAUAGUGAUGCUGUGAUAGAACUAGAUGUGGUCCUGGUGGUUAUGUGAUGG